rnacentral:rRNA from 1 species
AUUGAACGCUGGCGGAAUGCUUUACACAUGCAAGUCGAACGGCAGCACGGGGGCAACCCUGGUGGCGAGUGGCGAACGGGUGAGUAAUACAUCGGAACGUGCCCAGUCGUGGGGGAUAACGUAGCGAAAGUUACGCUAAUACCGCAUACGAUCUACGGAUGAAAGCGGGGGACCGUAAGGCCUCGCGCGAUUGGAGCGGCCGAUGUCUGAUUAGGUAGUUGGUGAGGUAAAGGCUCACCAAGCCGACGAUCUGUAGCUGGUCUGAGAGGACGACCAGCCACACUGGGACUGAGACACAGCCCAGACUCCUACGGGAGGCAGCAGUGGGGAAUUUUGGACAAUGGGCGCAAGCCUGAUCCAGCCAUUCCGCGUGCAGGACGAAGGCCUUCGGGUUGUAAACUGCUUUUGUACGGAACGAAAAGGCUCUGGUUAAUACCUGGGGCUCAUGACGGUACCGUAAGAAUAAGCACCGGCUAACUACGUGCCAGCAGCCGCGGUAA